rnacentral:RNase_P_RNA from 1 species
UCUAUCAGCCGGCUAUCGUUCCGAUCUUGUAUCGGGAAGGAAAGUCCGGACAGCAAAGGGCAACAUACCGGUUAAGAGCCGGCUUUGUAAGGUUUCGUGGAGACACGAACCAUGCAAAAGAGAAAGUGCCACAGAAAAUAACUGCCUUUCCCUCUCUUUUGGAGAGGACAGGGUGAGGUUGAAAACGUGAGGUAAGAGCUCACGGUCUCGUUAGGUAACUAACGACACGGGUAAACCUUAUGUGCUGUAAUGCCACGUAUACCAGCGUUUGAGGGCGGCCCGCCCGAGUUGGAGGGUAGGCAGCAAGAUCCUCACAGCAAUGUGUGGACCAGAUAAAUGAUGGCCGUUCCCGCAGUAUUGCGGGGAUAACAGAAUCCGGCUUAUGGCUGAUAGAUUUU